UACGGAGGGUGCAAGCGUUAUCCGGAUUUACUGGGUUUAAAGGGUGCGCAGGCGGAUAUGUAAGUCAGUGGUGAAAUCUCCGGGCUUAACCCGGAAACUGCCGUUGAUACUAUAUAUCUUGAAUGCUGUGGAGGUAAGCAGGAUAUGUCAUGUAGCGGUGAAAUGCUUAGAGAUGACAUAGAAUACCUAUUGCGAAGGCAGCUUACUACGCAGAUAUUGACGCUCAUGCACGAAAGCGUGGGGAUCAAACAGG
rnacentral:rRNA from 1 species